AUAAGUUCUGUUCCGGUUGGCCCAAGGUGGGGAAAUUAUCCAAAAUACAUGUCAGGUGUGGGAAGAGGACGUGUUGGAUACCGAUUGGAGGAUCAGGAAGGAUGCAGUGAUAUAAAAGGGGCUGGUUUAUGAACAGGAGGAGGUUUUUUUUGUUCUGCUGUUGUUCCACGGGAUACGGAAGUGGCUGGUGUGGCGUGGAUGUUGCGAUUUACGGGCUGCAACGGAGAAUCCAAGGAAAAUGGAUAUUGGAAGUGCGGAGGAAGUUAAGUGAUCGACCUUUUGUAUGUUGUGUUUACCUCUUAUUGUGGAUUGAGUUGAAGGAGCGAUCCUACGUUCGGAAGGCCCCUGAGUGAAGGAGAUCAUUGAAUUCGUGUUGGGAGAGGACAACACUGUGCACUGGUGGGUGAAGACUUUACGAACAUUUCUUGUAUAUUGUGGAGAGUGAAUGACGGAUGUGGAGGGAGACUAACCGCCUUUAAGAAAGGAUUCCGACUGCAUAUCUCUCCGUAGCAGUGGAAAAUCCCCCCUCCCCUCUUGUGUUGAUCUGAUAAUCCUCAGUGCUUGUGUGUUUACUCAGUGUUGAUAGUAGUGCCUUGCGUUGGAGAUCGCUGGGAAAGACGGAGAGACUCCGGUGUACGAUAUAUCUGCCUGCUGUGGUCUGCCCUCCUGCCUUUGUCCAUCUGACCCGCCCUGUCAGGACUCUGAGCCCGAAACGGGAAUACACCACCGAUCUUCUUUCACUGAGUGUGUGGAGUGCGGUGAGUGCUGCUAUAUUGAAGUGUACACACGAGAAGAAUUGUAGUGCCUUUGUGGUGUGUGGUGUUUGUCCGUGGUUGUGUCCCUGGUCGUAGGAAGAGGCCUGACGGAGAGGAGUAGUGUAUUGGUGGCAACCACAGUCUUUACCUUAAGUAAGCUGGAGCUCGGACGUGUUGGAGGCGCCUCUGGAGGAGGUUGGAUGUCGUUGCCCACGCAGCAAUCCCUCGAAGGACAACAGCCGAUCCUCCCCCGUGUGCCCACUUGUCAAGCUGGGCGGGAAGCCUAGUAUUGUUUGCAGUUUCAUCUGUAAGGCCCACCAGCCGUCAGUCAUCGACUAAACCCGUAUCUGCUUGGAAUACAGACCUCUGAAUAUCUUCAGUGGUGAGUAGCGCAUUAACAGCCCAGCCCUGUGAAUACUCGCCUGUGUAUUGAACACUGUACUUACUUGAGAGCUAGAACCCCUGCCCGCUAACAGCUCAGCCCUGCGAAUACCCACCUGUGUAUGGAACACUGUACUUACAUUGAGAGCUAGAACCCCUGCCCGCUAACAGCUCAGCCCUGCGAAUACCCACCUGUGUAUGGAACACUGUACUUACAUUGAGAGCUAGAACCCCUGCACGCUAACAGCUCAGCCCUGUGAAUACUUACCUGUGUAUGGAACACUGUACUUACAUUGAGAGCUAGAACCCCUGCACGCUAACAGCUCAGCCCUGUGAAUACCCACCUGUGUAUGGAACACUGUACUUACAUUGAGAGCUAGAACCCCUGCACGCUAACAGCUCAGCCCUGUGAAUACUUACCUGUGUAUGGAACACUGUACUUACAUUGAGAGCUAGAACCCCUGCACGCUAACAGCUCAGCCCUGUGAAUACUUACCUGUGUAUCGAACACUGUACUUACCUGAGAGCUAGAACCCCUGCACGCUAACAGCCCAGCCCUGUGAAUACCCACCUGUGUAUCGAACACUGUAUUUACCUGAGAGCUAGAACCCCUGUACAUUAACAGCCCAGCCCUGUGAAUACUUACCUGUGUAUUGAAUGCUGUACUUACCUGAGAGCUAGAACCUCUGCACAUUAACAGCCCAGCCCUGUGAAUAUCCACCUGUGUAUCGAACACUGUACUUACCUGAGAGCUAGAACCCCUGCACGCUAACAGCUCAGCCCUGUGAAUACCCACCUGUGUAUCGAACACUGUAUUUACCUGAGAGCUAGAACCCCUGUACAUUAACAGCCCAGCCCUGUGAAUACUUACCUGUGUAUUGAAUGCUGUACUUACCUGAGAGCUAGAACCUCUGCACAUUAACAGCCCAGCCCUGUGAAUAUCCACCUGUGUAUUGAACACUGUACUUCCCUGAGAGCUGGAACCUCUGCACGCCAACAGCCCAGCCCUGUGAAUACUUACCUGUGUAUUGAACACUGUACUUACUUGAGAGCUAGAACCCCUGCACGCUAACAGCUUAGCCCUGUGAAUACUCACCUGUGUAUUGAACUCUGUAUUUACCUGAGAGCUAGAACCCCUGCACGGUAACUGCCUAGCUCUUGCUUUAAACUUACCUGGAAUGGAGUCGGCGGGAAAUUAAGGGCUGAAGAGGAGUGUUCUUGUGACUGGAAUCCGUAUUUGUGGAUAAAGAAUAGUUCGAGUCAUCAUUAGUUUUAAAGUUUCCUUACCCCUUUCCCCAAACUUUUAAACAAAUAAAAUUGUUACAUUUUAA